CUCUUUAACAUGGCUGCUGGCCAUUUUAUUGUUCAGGGUGAUAUCCUCCCAGACUAUUUUACAUAUGCAAUCCACCAAUGCUGUUUACAUUUGCAUUUUCAUCUUCACAGGUGCUGUUGUCCUUAAGGCACUUUCCCCUGAGAAAAGCAACGUGAUUCCCUUGGUUCAUGUGUUCCUCAAUAAAUGUCACUUCUUGUUGAAACACCGCUGCUGAGAAGAGAUUUUGAAGCUGCUAUGUUGUGAUUAACCCAAAAAGAUGUAGACAAAGAUGGUGAUAUGGUUAUCAAACUACUCUCCAUCAUAUUUGAAAUACUGUGGCUGUCGGGUGAAGUCCCUAGGAACUGGAUAAAGGGAAACAUCAUUCCCAUUCACAAGAAAGGGAGGAAGGAGGACCCUGGGAUAUACAGGCCAGUGAGCCUCACCUCUGUUCCUGGGAAGAUUGUGGAACAGAUCCUCCAGGAAGAUAUGCUAAGGCACAUAAAGCACAAGUGGGCCUUCUACAAUGGAAUGACAGCAUUGGUGGACAAAGAGAAGGCAACUGAUGUUAUCUACCUGGACUUCUGAAAGGCCUUUGACAUGGUCCCCCAUCACAUCCUUAUCUCUAAAUUGGAGAGAUAUGGAUUCGAAGGCUGGACUAUCCAG
ensembl:lncRNA